rnacentral:rRNA from 1 species
AUACAUGCAAGUCGAGCGGACAGAAGGGAGCUUGCUCCCGGAUGUUAGCGGCGGACGGGUGAGUAACACGUGGGUAACCUGCCUGUAAGACUGGGAUAACUCCGGGAAACCGGAGCUAAUACCGGAUAGUUCCUUGAACCGCAUGGUUCAAGGAUGAAAGACGGUUUCGGCUGUCACUUACAGAUGGACCCGCGGCGCAUUAGCUAGUUGGUGAGGUAACGGCUCACCAAGGCGACGAUGCGUAGCCGACCUGAGAGGGUGAUCGGCCACACUGGGACUGAGACACGGCCCAGACUCCUACGGGAGGCAGCAGUAGGGAAUCUUCCGCAAUGGACGAAAGUCUGACGGAGCAACGCCGCGUGAGUGAUGAAGGUUUUCGGAUCGUAAAGCUCUGUUGUUAGGGAAGAACAAGUGCAAGAGUAACUGCUUGCACCUUGACGGUACCUAACCAGAAAGCCACGGCUAACUACGUGCCAGCAGCCGCGGUAAUACGUAGGUGGCAAGCGUUGUCCGGAAUUAUUGGGCGUAAAGGGCUCGCAGGCGGUUUCUUAAGUCUGAUGUGAAAGCCCCCGGCUCAACCGGGGAGGGUCAUUGGAAACUGGGAAACUUGAGUGCAGAAGAGGAGAGUGGAAUUCCACGUGUAGCGGUGAAAUGCGUAGAGAUGUGGAGGAACACCAGUGGCGAAGGCGACUCUCUGGUCUGUAACUGACGCUGAGGAGCGAAAGCGUGGGGAGCGAACAGGAUUAGAUACCCUGGUAGUCCACGCCGUAAACGAUGAGUGCUAAGUGUUAGGGGGUUUCCGCCCCUUAGUGCUGCAGCUAACGCAUUAAGCACUCCGCCUGGGGAGUACGGUCGCAAGACUGAAACUCAAAGGAAUUGACGGGGGCCCGCACAAGCGGUGGAGCAUGUGGUUUAAUUCGAAGCAACGCGAAGAACCUUACCAGGUCUUGACAUCCUCUGACAACCCUAGAGAUAGGGCUUUCCCUUCGGGGACAGAGUGACAGGUGGUGCAUGGUUGUCGUCAGCUCGUGUCGUGAGAUGUUGGGUUAAGUCCCGCAACGAGCGCAACCCUUGAUCUUAGUUGCCAGCAUUCAGUUGGGCACUCUAAGGUGACUGCCGGUGACAAACCGGAGGAAGGUGG